rnacentral:rRNA from 1 species
GACGAACGCUGGCGGCGUGCUUAACACAUGCAAGUCGAACGAAAAGAGGGAAAGAGCUUGCUCUUUCCGGAAUUGAGUGGCAAACGGGUGAGUAACACGUAAACAACCUGCCUUCAGGAUGGGGACAACAGACGGAAACGACUGCUAAUACCGAAUAAGUUCCAAGGGCCGCAUGGCCCAUGGAAGAAAGGGUGGCCUCUACCUGUAAGCUAUCGCCUGAAGGGGGGUUUGCGUCUGAUUAGCUGGUUGGAGGGGUAACGGCCCACCAAGGCGACGAUCAGUAGCCGGUCUGAGAGGAUGAACGGCCACACUGGAACUGAGACACGGUCCAGACUCCUACGGGAGGCAGCAGUGGGGAAUCUUCCGCAAUGGGCGAAAGCCUGACGGAGCAACGCCGCGUGAGUGAUGACGGCCUUCGGGUUGUAAAACUCUGUGAUCCGGGACGAAAAGGCAGAGUGCGAAGAACAAACUGCAUUGACGGUACCGGAAAAGCAAGCCACGGCUAACUACGUG